rnacentral:sRNA from 1 species
AAUGUCACCUAGCAAACGUAGCUCUCAGAAGUACAUAAUAGAAGGGCUGACGGAAAAAUCAUCCCAGAUCGUGGACCCUUGGGAGAGGUUGUUUAAGAUUUUGAAUGUUGUUGGAAUGAGAUGUGAAUGGCAGAUGGAUAAAGGAAGACGGUCCUAAUGCCCCGAGCCAAGUUCCACUGGUUCUUCUUGAAGAUGUAUCGAAUGUGUAUGGUG